CCGAAUUGUAGUCUGGAUUAGAGUCCUCAGCGACGGACCGAGCCCAACUCCCAUGGAAAGGGGCACCUAGGAGGGUGAGAGCCCCAUUCGGCAUGGACCCGGUCGCCCCAUGAGGCGCCGUCAACGAGAUUGGAUGUUUGGGAAUGCAGCCCAAAUCGGGCGGUAAACUCCGUCCAAGGCUAAAUACAGCGAGAGAUCGAUAGCAAACAAGCACCACGAGGGAAAGAUGAAAAUGACAUUGAAAAGAGAGUCAAAAAGUGCUUGAAAUCUCCGGGAGAGAAGCAGAUGAGGGCCGACGAUGCGCCCUGGCCGUAUGCAGAACGGCUUCGGCUGGUCUACGAAUUGGCUCGGGGCGUGGACUGUUGUUGGCUGCGCCGGCGGCCAAAGCCUGGGGGCCUCGCGCCUCCGGUAGCCAUCGUCGGCGCAGCCGGUCACCGCGCCCCUC
rnacentral:rRNA from 1 species